CCCAAGAAGCCUAGCAGGUUCACGCAAAGGUUCUUCGUCACGUGCAUCACGUUGAUUGAAGAGCGGACCUCUAGGUCUUUCCAGUAGGGUAGGUCCCAAAAUAUAGAUUUCUUCUUCCACAUGGGUGCAUGUCCCUCAGCGUCAUUCGGAACAGCUAGUCCGCCGGGACCCUUUCCAAAGAUUACGUGUAAAUCAUUGACCAUAGCAAAUACGUGAUCACCAGUACGCAUGGCGGGCUUCUUCCGGUGAUCUGCCUCGCCUUUGAAAUGCUUGCCUUUCUUUAGACAUUGAUGGUUGGUCGGAAGAAAUCGACGAUGGCCCAGGUACACAUUCUUUCUGCAUUUGUCCAGGUAUAUACUUUCAGUGUCAUCUAAACAGUGCGUGCAUGCGUGGUAUCCUUUGUUUGUCUGUCCUGAAUGGUUACUGAGAGCGGGCCAAUCGUUGAUGGUCAUGAACAGCAACGCCUUUAGGUUAAAUUCCUCCUGUCUGUGCUCAUCCCACGUACGUACACCGUUUCCAUUCCACAGCUGUAAAAGUUCUUCAACUAAUGGCCUUAGGUACACAUCAAUGUCGUUGCCGGGUUGCUUAGGGCCUUGGAUGAGAACUGGCAUCAUAAUGAACUUUCGCUUCAUGCACAUCCAAGGAGGAAGGUUAUACAUACAUAGAGUCACGGGUCAAGUGCCGUGAUUGCUGCUCUGCUCCCCGAAAGGAUUAAUGCUAUCCGCGCUUAAAGCAAACCAUACGUUCCUUGGGUCCUUUGCAAACUCAUCCCAGUACUUUCUCUCGAUUUUUCUCCACUGCGACCCGUCAGCGGGUGCUCUCAACUUCCCGUCUUUCUUACGGUCCUCAUCGUGCCAUCGCAUCAACUUGGCAUGCUCUUCGUUUCUGAACAGACGUUUCAACCAUGGUAUUAUAGGAGCAUACCACAUCACCUUCGCAGGAACCCUCUUCCUGGGGGGGCUCGCCGUCAACAUCACCAGGGUCAUCUCGUCUGAUCUUAUACCGCAAUGCACCGCAUACCGGGCAUGUAUUCAAAUCCUUGUAUGCACCGCGGUAGAGGAUGCAGUCAUUAGGGCAUGCAUGUAUCUUCUCCACCUCCAAUCCUACAGGGCAUACGACCUUCUUUGCUGCAUAUGUACUAUCGGGCAAUUCGUUAUCCUUUGGAAGCUUCUUCUUCAAUACUUUCAGUAGCUUCUCAAAUCCUUUGUCAGGCACAACAUUCUCUGCCUUCCACUGCAGCAAUUCCAGUACGGUACCGAGCUUUGUGUUGACAUCUUCGCAAUUGGGGUACAACCCUUUUUGUGAUCCUCUAACAUGCGAUCGAACUUCAGCUUCUCCUUUUGACUUUCGCAUUGCGUCCUUGCAUCGACAAUGACCCGGCGGAGAUCAUCAUCAUCGGGCACAUCCUCUGGUUCCUCUUGAUUUCAAGCGGCUUCACCCGUUGCAGCAUCAUUGGGCACAUCGUCUGGUUCCUCUUGAUCUUCACCAGCUCCCCCCUUUGCAGCAUCACCGUAUUCAGGGGGCACAUAGUUGUCAUCGUACUCUUCUGCUUCGUCGUCUUCCAUCAUAACCCCUAUUUCUCCGUGCCUCGUCCAAAACAUUAUAGUGUGGCAUGAAACCCUUGUAAAGCAAGUGGGAGUGAAGGAUUUUCCGGUUAGAGUAAGACCUCGUAUUCCCACAUUCAGUGCAUGGACAACACAUAAAACCAUUCUGCUUGUUUGCCUCAGCCGCAUCGAGAAACUCAUGCACGCCCUUAAUGUACUCGGAGGUGUGUCUGUCACCGUACAUCCAUUGCUGGUUCAUCUGCGUGCAUUAUAUAUAAUUAAGUGUCCAAAUUAAUAGAAAUUCAUCAUCACAUUAAAACCAAAGUACAUACAUAGUUCUCAUCUAACAACAUAUAACUCUCCAGAGCAUCUAAUUAAUUAAACCAUACAUUGAAACUAUGUAAAACAUUUCAAUGCGAAAACAAAUGCGAUCAUAAUCGCAACCAAGGUAACAAUUGAUUGUUGGAAAUAUGCCCUAGAGGCAAUAAUAAAUUGAUUAUUAUUGUAUUUCCUUGUUCAUGAUAAUCGUUUAUUAUCCAUGCUAGAAUUGUAUUAAUAGGAAACUCAGAUACAUGUGUGGAUAUAUAGACAACACCAUGUCCCUAGUAAGCCUCUAGUUGACUAGCUCGUUAAUCAAUAGAUGGUUACGGUUUCCUGACCAUGGACAUUGGAUGUCGUUGAUAACGGGAUCACAUCAUUAGGAGAAUGAUGUGAUGGACAAGACCCAAUCCUAAGCCUAGCACAAGAUCAUGUAGUUCGUAUGCUAAAGCUUUUCUAAUGUCAAGUAUCAUUUCCUUAGACCAUGAGAUUGUGCAACUCCCGGAUACCGUAGGAGUGCUUUGGGUGUGCCAAACAUCACAACGUAACUGGGUGGCUAUAAAGGUACACUACGGGUAUCUCUGAAAGUGUCUGUUGGGUUGGCACGAAUCGAGAUUGGGAUUUUGUCACUCCGUGUAAACGGAGAGGUAUCUCUGGGCCCACUCGGUAGGACAUCAUCAUAAUGUGCACAAUGUGAUCAAGGAGUUGAUCACGGGAUGAUGUGUUACGGAACGAGUAAAGAGACUUGCCGGUAACGAGAUUGAACAAGGUAUCGGUAUACCGACGAUCGAAUCUCGGGCAAGUACAAUACCGUUAGACAAAGGGAAUUGUAUACGGGAUUGAUUGAGUCCUUGACAUCGUGGUUCAUCCGAUGAGAUCAUCGUGGAACAUGUGGGAGCCAACAUGGGUAUCCAGAUCCCGCUGUUGGUUAUUGACCGGAGAACGUCUCGGUCAUGUCUGCAUGUCUCCCGAACCCGUAGGGUCUACACACUUAAGGUUCGAUGACGCUAGGGUUAUAAAGGAAGUUUGUAUGUGGUUACCGAAUGUUGUUCGGAGUCCCGGAUGAGAUCCCGGACGUCACGAGGAGUUCCGGAAUGGUCCGGAGGUAAAGAUUUAUAUAUAGGAAGUCCUAUUUCGGCCAUCGGGACAAGUUUCGGGGUCAUCGGUAUUGUACCGGGACCACCGGAAGGGUCCCGGGGGCCCACCGGGUGGGGCCACCUGCCCCGGGGGGCCACAUGGGCUGUAGGGGGUGCGCCUUGGCCUACAUGGGCCAAGGGCACCAGCCCCUAGAGGCCCAUGCGCCAAGAUAUAGGAAAAAGGGGAGAGUCCUAAAGGGGGAAGGCACCUCCGAGGUGCCUUGGGGAGGAUGGACUCCUCCCCCCCUCUUAGCCGCACCCCUUCCUUGGAGGAAGGGGCAAGGCUGCGCCUCCCCCCUCUCCCCUGCCCCUAUAUAUAGUGGAGGGGAGGGAGGGCAUCCAUACCUGAGCCCUUGGCGCCUCCCUCCCUCUCGUGACACCUCCUCCUCUCCCGUAGGUGCUUGGCGAAGCCCUGCAGGAUUGCCACACUCCUCCAUCACCACCACGCCGUUGUGCUGCUGCUGGAUGGAGUCUUCCUCAACCUCUCCCUCUCUCCUUGCUGGAUCAAGGCGUGGGAGACAUCGUCGAGCUGUACGUGUGUUGAACGCGGAGGUGCCGUCCGUUCGGCACUAGGAUCAUCGGUGAUCUGAAUCACGACGAGUACGACUCCAUCAACCCUGUUCACUUGAACGCUUCCGCUUAGCAAUCUACAAGGGUAUGUAGAUGCACUCUCUUUCUACUCGUUGCUGGUCUCUCCAUAGAUAGAUCUUGGUGACACGUAGGAAAAUUUUGAAUUUCUGCUACGUUCCCCAACAGUGGCAUCAUGAGCUAGGUCUAUUGCAUAGAUUCUUUGCAUGAGUAGAACACAAAGUAGUUGUGGGCGUCGAUAUUGUUCAAUAUGCUUGCCGUUACUAGUCUUAUCUUGAUUCGGCGGCAUCGUGGGAUGAAGCAGCCCGGACCAACCUUACACGUACGCUUACGUGAGACCGGUUCCACCGACAAACAUGCACUAGUUGCAUAAGGUGGCUGGCGGGUGUCUGUCUCUCCCACUUUAGUCGGAUCGGAUUCGAUGAAAAGGGUCCUUAUGAAGGGUAAAUAGCAAUUGGCAUAUCACGUUGUGGUUCAUGCGUAGGUAAGAAACGUUCUUGCUAGAAACCCAUAGCAGCCACGUAAAACAUGCAAACAACAAUUAGAGGACGUCUAACUUGUUUUUGCAGGGUAUGCUAUGUGAUGUGAUAUGGCCAAAAAGGAUGUGAUGAAUGAUAUAUGUGAUGUAUGAGAUUGAUCAUGUUCUUGUAAUAGGAAUCACAACUUGCAUGUCGAUGAGUAUGACAACCGGCAGGAGCCAUAGGAGUUGUCUUUAUUUAUUUGUGACCUGCGUGUCAACUUAAACGUCAUGUAAUUACUUUACUUUAUUGCUAACCGUUAGCCAUAGUAGUAGAAGUAAUAGUUGGCGAGGCAACUUCAUGAAGACACGAUGAUGGAGAUCAUGAUGAUGGAGAUCAUGGUGUCAUGCCGGUGACGAUGAUGAUCAUGGAGCCCCGAAGAUGGAGAUCAAAAGGAGCAAAGUGAUGAUGGCCAUAUCAUGUCACUAUUUGAUUGCAUGUGAUGUUUAUCAUGUUUAUACAUCUUAUUUUCUUAGAACGACGGUAGUAAAUAAGAUGAUCCCUUACAACAAUUUCAAGAAGUGUUCUCCCCUAACUGUGCACCGUUGCGACAGUUCGUGUUUCGAAGCACCACGUGAUGAUCGGGUGUUAGAUUCUAACGUUCACAUACAACGGGUGUAAGACAGAUUUACACACGCGAAACACUUAGGGUUAACUUGACGAGCCUAGCAUGUACAGACAUGGCCUUGGAACACGGAGACCGAAAGGUCGAACAUGAGUCGUAUAGAAGAUACGAUCAACAUGAAGAUGUUCACCGAUGAUGACUAGUCCAUCUCACGUGAUGAUCGGACACGGCCUAGUUUGACUCGGAUCAUGUAAUCACUUAGAUGACUAGAGGGAUGUCUAUCUGAGUGGGAGUUCAUAAGAUGAACUUGAUUAUCCUGAACAUAGUCAAAAGGUUUUUGCAAAUUAUGUCGUAGCUCACGCUAUAGUUCUACUGUUUAGAUAUGUUCCUAGAGAAAAAAUUAGUUGAAAGUUGAUAGUAGCAAUUAUGCGGACUAGGUCCGUAAACUGAGGAUUGUCCUCAUUGCUUCAUAGAAGGCUUAUGUCCUUAAUGCACCGCUCAGUGUGCUGAACCUCGAACGUUGUCUGUGGUUGUUGCGAACAUCUGACAUACACGUUUUGAUAACUACGUGAUAGUUCAGUUAAACGGUUUAGAGUUGAGGCACCAAAGACGAUUUUGAAACAUCGCGAAACAUAUGAGAUGUUUUGAGGGCUGAAAUUGGGAUUUCAGGCUCGUGCCCAUGUCAAGAGGUAUAAGACCUCCGAUGACUUUCUUAACCUGCAAACUAAGGAGAAAAGCUCAAUUGUUGAGCUUGUGCUCAGAUUGUCUGAGUACAACAAUCAUUUGAAUCAAGUGGGAGUUGAUCUUCCAGAUAAGACAGUGAUGGUUCUCCAAAGUCAUUGCCACCAAGCUGUUAGAGCUUCGUGAUGAACUAUAACAUAUCAGGGAUAGAUAUGAUGAUCCUUGAGGUAUUCACGAUGUUUGACACCGCGAAAGUAGAAAUCAAGAAGGAGCAUCAAUUGUUGAUGGUUGGUGAAACCACUAGUUUCAAGAAGGGCAAGGGCAAGAAGGGAUACUUCAUGAAACGGCAAAUCAGCUGCUGCUCUAGUGAAGAAACCCAAGGUAAAACCCAAACCCGAGACUAAGUGCUUCUGUAAUAAGGGGAGCAACCACUAGAGCAGAAUUACCCUAGAUACUUGGUAGAUAAGAAGGCUGGCAAGGUCGAUAGAAGUAUAUUGGAUAUACAUUGUGUUAAUGUGUACUUUGCUAGUACUCCUAGUAGCACCAGGGUAUUAGAUACCGGUUCGGUUGCUAAGUGUUAGUAACUCGAAACGAAAGGCUACGGAAUAAACGGAGACUAGCUAAAGGUGAGCUGACGAUAUGUGUUGGAAGUUUUUCCAAGCUUGAUAUGAUCAAGCAUCGCACGCUCCCUCUACCAAAGAGAUUGGUGUUAAACCUAAAUAAUUGUUAUUUGGUGUUUGCGUUGAGCAUAGACAUAAUUGGAUUACGUCUAUCGCAAUACGGUUAUUCAUUUAAGGAGAAUAAUGGUUACUCUGUUUAUUUGAAUAAUACCUUCAAUGGUCUUACACCUAAAAGGAAUGGUUUAUUGAAUCUCGAUCGUAGUGAUACACAUUUUCAUGCCAAAAGAUAUAAGAUAGUAAUGAUAGUACCACUUACUUGUGGCACUGCCAUGUAAGUCAUAAUGGUAUAAAACGCAUGAAGAAGCUCCAUGUUGAUGGAUCUUUGGACUCACUCGUUUUUUGAAAAGUUUGAGACAUGCGAACCAUGUCUAUUGGUGUGUACGCAUGAAGAAACUCCAUGCAAAUGGACCAUUUUGACUCACUUGAUUUUGAAUCACUUGGGACAUGCAAAUCAUACCACAUGGGCAAGAUGACUGAAAAGCCUCGUUUUCAGUAAGAUGGAAUAAAGAUAGCAACUUGUUGGAAGUAACACAUUUUGAUGUGUGCAGUCCAAUGAGUGCUGAGGCAUGCAGUGAAUAUCGUUAUGUUCUUACUUCACAGAUGAUUCGAGUAGAUGUUGAGUAUAUUUACUUGAUGAAUCACGAGUCUGAAUUAUUGAAAGGUUCAAGUAAUUUCAGUGUGAAGUUGAAAGAUCGUCGUGACAAGAGGAUAAAAGAUCUAUGAUAUGAUCAUAGAGAUGAAUAUCUGAAUCACGAGUUUGGCACAGAAUUAAGACAUUGUGGAAAUUGUUUCACAACUGAUACAGCCUGGAACACCAUAGUGUGAUGGUGUGUCCAAACGUCAUAGUUGCACCCUAUUGGAUAUGGUGCAUACCAUGAUGUCUCUUAUCGAGUUACCACUAUCGUUCAUGGGUUAGGCAUUAGAGACAACCACAUUCACUUUAAAUAGGGCACCACAUAAUUUCGUUGAGACGACACCGUAUGAACUAUGGUUUGGAGAAACCUAAGUUGCCGUUUCUUGAAAGUUUGGGGCUGCGACGCUUAUGUGAAAAUGUUUCAGGUUGAUAAGCUCGAACCCAAAGCAGAUAAAAUGCAUCUUCAUAGGACACCCAAAAACAGUUGGGUAUACCUCCUAAUUCAGAUCCGAAAGCAAUAGGGAUUGUUUCUUGAAUCGGGUCCUUUUUCGAGGAAAGGUUUCUCUCGAAAGAAUUGAGUGGGAGGAUGGUGGAGACUUGAUGAGGUUAUUGAACCGUCACUUCAACAAGUGUGUAGCAGGGCACAGGAAGUUGUUCCUGUGGCACCUACACCAAUUGAAGUGGAAGCUUAUGAUAGUGAUCAUGAAGUUUCGGAUCAAGUCACUACCGAACCUCGUAGGAUGACAAGGAUGCGUACUACUUCAGAGUGGUACGUAAUCCUGUCUUGGAAGUCAUGUUGCUAGACAACAAUGAACCUACGAGCUAUGGAGAAGCGAUGGUGGGCCCGGAUUCCGAUAAAUGGCUCAAGGCCAUAAAAUCCGAGAGAGGAUCCAUGUAGACUUUGGCAGAACGGCUCGAUGGUCGUAAGGCUAAUGAGUACAGAUGGAUUUCAAAAGGAAGACAGACAAUGAUGGUAAGUGUCACCAUUGAGAAAGCUCGACUUGUCGUUAAGAUGUUUUUCGACAAGUUCAAGGAGUUGACUACGAUGAGACUUUCUCACUCGUAGCGAUGCUAAGAGUUUGUUGGAAUUAUAUUAGCAAUUACUGCAUUAUUUAUGAAAUCUUGCAGAUAGGAUGUAAAAAACAUUGUUUCCUCGACGAUUCUUGAGGAAAGGUUGUAUGUGAUACAACCGGAAGGUUUUGUCUAUCCUGAAAUAUGCUAAUAAGUAUGCAAAGCUCCAGCAAUCCUUCUGAGGACUGGAGUGAGCAUCUCGGAGUUGGAAUGUAUGCUUUGAUGAUGAUCAAAGAUUUUGGGUGUAUACAAAGUUUAUGAGAAACUUGUAUUUCCAAAGAAGUGAGUGGGAGCACUAUAGAAUUUCUGAUGAGUAUAUGUUGUUGACAUAUUAAUGAUCAGAAAUGACGUAGAAUUUCUGGAAAGCAUAUAGGGUUAUUUGGAAAGUGUUUUCAAUGGAAAACCUGGAUUAAGCUACUUGAACAUUGAGCAUCAAGAUCUAUAAGGAUAGAUCAAAACGCUUAAUAGUACUUUCAAAUGAGCACAUGCCUUGACAUGAUCUUGAAGGUGUUCAAGAUGGACCAGUCAAAGAAGGAGUUCUUGCUUGAGUUGUAAGGUAUGAAGUUAAGACUUAAAGCUCGACCAUGGCAGAAUAGAGAGAAAGGAACGAAGGUCGUCCCCUAUGCUUAAGACAUAGGCUCUACAGUAUGCUAUGCUGUGUACCGCACCUGAAGUGUGCUUUACCAUGAGUCAGUCAAGGGGUACGAGAGUGAUCCAAGAAUGGAUCACAGGACAGCGGUCAAAGUUAUCCUUAGUAACUAGUGGACUAAGGAAUUUUCUCAAUUAUGGAGGUGGUAAAAGAGUUCGUCGUAAAGGGUUACGUCGAUGCAAGCUUAACACCUAUCCGGAUAGCUUUGAGUAGAGAUACCGGAUACGUAUAAUGGAGCAACAAUUUAUAAUAGCUCCAAGUAGAACAGUUAUUUGGAAUAGCUCCAAAUAGAACGUGGUAGCUGCAUCUAGGAGAUGACAUAGAGAUUUGUAAAGCACACACGGAUCUGAAAGAUUCAGACCCGUUGACUAAAACCUCUCUCACAAGCAACAUGAUCAAACCCAGAACUCUUUGGGUGUUAGUCACAUGGGGAUGUGACCUUGAGUGUUAAUCACAUAUCGAUGUGAACUAGAUUAUUGACUCUAGUGCAAGUGGGAGACUGUUGGAAAUAUGCCCUAGAGGCAAUAAUAAAUUGAUUAUUAUUAUAUUUCCUUGUUCAUGAUAAUCGUUUAUUAUCCAUGCUAGAAUUGUAUUGAUAGGAAACUCAGAUACAUGUGUGGAUACAUAGACAACACCAUGUCCCUAGUAAGCCUCUAGUUGACUAGCUCGUUAAUCAAUAGAUGGUUACGGUUUCCUGACCAUGGACAUUGGAUGUCGUUGAUAACGGGAUCACAUCAUUAGGAGAAUGAUGUGAUGGACAAGACCCAAUCCUAAGCCUAGCACAAGAUCAUGUAGUUCGUAUGCUAAAGCUUUUUAAUGUCAAGUAUCAUUUCCUUAGACCAUGAGAUUGUGCAACUCCCGGAUAUCGUAGGAGUGCUUUGGGUGUACCAAACGUCACAACGUAACUGGGUGGCUAUAAAGGUACACUACGGGUAUCUCUGAAAGUGUCUGUUGGGUUGGCACGAAUCGAGAUUGGGAUUUUGUCACUCCGUGUAAACGGAGAGGUAUCUCUGGGCCCACUCGGUAGGACAUCAUCAUAAUGUGCACAAUGUGACCAAGGGGUUGAUCACGGGAUGAUGUGUUACGGAACGAGUAAAGAGACUUGCCGGUAACGAGAUUGAACAAGGUAUCGGUAUACCGACGAUCGAAUCUCGGGCAAGUACCAUACCGCUAGACAAAGGGAAUUGUAUACGGGAUCGAUUGAGUCCUUGACAUCGUGGUUCAUCCGAUGAGAUCAUCGUGGAACAUGUGGGAGCCAACAUGGGUAUCCAGAUCCCGCUGUUGGUUAUUGACCGGAGAACGUCUCGGUCAUGUCUGCAUGUCUCCCGAACCCGUAGGGUCCACACACUUAAGGUUCGAUGACGCUAGGGUUAUAAAGGAAGCUUGUAUGUGGUUACCGAAUGUUGUUCGGAGUCCCGGAUGAGAUCCCGGACGUCACGAGGAGUUCCGGAAUGGUCCGGAGGUAAAGAUUUAUAUAUAGGAAGUCUUGUUUCGGCCAUCGGGACAAGUUUCGGGGUCAUCGGUAUUGUACCGGGACCACCGGAAGGGUCCCGGGGGCCCACCGGGUGGGGCCACCUGCCCCGGGGGGCCACAUGGGCUGUAGGGGGUGCGCCUUGGCCUACAUGGGCCAAGGGCACCAGCCCCUAGAGGCCCAUGCGCCAAGAUAUAGGAAAAAGGGGAGAGUCCUAAAGGGGGAAGGCACCUCCGAGGUGCCUUGGGGAGGAUGGACUCCUCCCCCCCUCUUAGCCGCACCCCUUCCUUGGAGGAAGGGGCAAGGCUGCGCCUCCCCCCUCUUCCCUGCCCCUAUAUAUAGUGGAGGGGAGGGAGGGCAUCCAUACCUGAGCCCUUGGCGCCUCCCUCCCUCCCGUGACACCUCCUCCUCUCCCGUAGGUGCUUGGCGAAGCCCUGCAGGAUUGCCACGCUCCUCCAUCACCACCACGCCGUUGUGCUGCUGCUGGAUGGAGUCUUCCUCAACCUCUCCCUCUCUCCUUGCUGGAUCAAGGCGUGGGAGACAUCGUCGAGCUGUACGUGUGUUGAACGCGGAGGUGCCGUCCGUUCGGCACUAGGAUCAUCGGUGAUCUGAAUCACGACGAGUACGACUCCAUCACCCCCGUUCACUUGAACGCUUCCGCUUAGCGAUCUACAAGGGUAUGUAGAUGCACUCUCUUUCUACUCGUUGCUGGUCUCUCCAUAGAUAGAUCUUGGUGACACGUAGGAAAAUUUUGAAUUUCUGCUACAUUCCCCAACAUUGAUCCAACGGCAUAAUGAUACCAAGCCUCGGUAUGAAUGGCAUAUUUUCUAAUCUUUCUAAUCUUCAAGCGCAUUACAUCCAUCUUGAUCUUGUGAUCAUCCACGACAUCCGCAACAUGCAACUCCAAUAUCAUCUUCUCCUCCUCAAUUUUUUUUAUUUUUUCCUUCAACAAAUUGUUUUCUUCUUCAACUAAAUUAACCUCUCGACAAUAGGGUCGGUUGGAAUUUCCGAUUCACAUACAUCCUACAUAAAUAAAAUCUAUGUCACGUUGGUCGGCAUAAUUUUCAUAAACAAUAAAUGAACCAAUAGUUAUAAAGAUAAUAUAUAUACCACAUCCGAAUCAUAGACAGGACGAGGGCCGAUGGGGGCGGAUACCAAAAUCAUCGCACUAUAUAAGAUGCAAUAAUAAAAGUAAAAAAAUAAUACAAGUAUCUAUGUAAACAUACAAGUAAGAAUAUUUUUUCCCUUCAGAAAGAAGAUAAGAGCACCACCAAGCCCUCUCCCCCUCGGCCAGAAAAAACAGAGCAGUGUGCUCUGCUCUUACGCGAGGGGGUAUAUAUAGGCACCUCAUUGGUCCCGGUUGGUGGCAUGAACCGGGACUAAAGGGGAGCCUUUGGUCCCGGUUCAAGCCACCAACCGGGACCAAUGGUGGUGGGCCAGGAGCAAGGCCCAUUGGUCCCGGUUCGUCCCACCAACCGGGACCAAAAGGUCCAGACGAACCGGGACCAAUGGCCCGCGUGGCCCGACCGGCCCCCUAGGCUCACGAACCGGGUCCAAUGCCCCCAUUGGUCCCGGUUCUGGACUGAACCGGGACUAAUGGGCUGACUCGGCCUGGACCUUUGCCCCCUUUUUCUACUAGUGAUGUAGUAUAUACUAACCAGAUUAGAUUCUUAUGCACAUUUCGUACACGCACACCUAGCCUCGCUGCAGAAGAAUUGAAAUCAAUAGCAGCAGGUAUUUCGUCACUACUUGGUGCCAGUUGAUUCAAACAUGUUGUGUCAAGAUGCAAAGUCACACACUGACCAACGAAAACAUGCAUAGUCAGAAACACACGCAUAAGAAACCCAAAAUCUUUCUAAAAAAACCCAAAAUCAAUUUUAGCUAACAACUGAGACAUGCAAAGUCACACGCUGACCAGCGACAGCUUAUGAUAAGGAAUCACAUGCAUGUGACAAACAAAUAAUGCGAUUAUGUAUUUUAUUCAACACAAAUAACAUGGUUCACAAAUAAAAGGUCAAAUUCUGAGAUUCGAGUUACACACGACAUAUAGCAAAAUAAAAGUUUCUGUCAUGCUUCCUUAGCAGUCACAAAGGAGAUGGUCCGCAAACAACAUAUUACAUUCUCGAGAUUCAAGAGUUACACACUAUGACUGCUUAAUCUUCACCUCUACUCUUAUAUAAAUCCUACCACCAAUAACAAACGGAGUUGCCUCACCAGUUAACUGCGCCCAAAAGCACUAGAACAAGUUGUAAUUGCCACAUAAUUUCCUACUAACAAAUCUGGUGGUGUUUUCUUUAUCUUGGUAAUGUAAUUCUCAGAGGGCUUUUGUGAUUUAAACUAAAACAUUUAAACUAAAACUUUUACUUAUUUACAAUAUAUUUUAUCAAACACAUGGUUUUGAGUAGAAUGUUUAUUAUUUCCUAGUUAGUAUAAUUGACAACACAAUGAAAUUCUAAAUUAAUCAACAUACAAAAUUGUUGACUUCAAAAUAUUUAUUUCUCAAUCACAUGAGAAAUAGUCUCUUUGUGUGCGCCUCUCUCUCUCUCUCUCUGUGUGUGUGUGUUGCACCCAUUUAGUAUUAUUAAUUAAUAUGGUAGAGAGCUCUAAAGUGUGUCAUGUAGCGAAAUAUCUUGUCAGGAGUUUCUAGUGUUUGACUAGGUAUAAGCAAUUAGACGGAUCUGCAUGUACAAAGUGUUUAUGAGGAGAUUGUCAAUUAUUAUUGACUUUAAAAAUUAAAUAUAUAAUAUCAAGGUGUACCAAAUACAUUUGCAAUAUGUAACACCUCGGGCUCAAGACAUAGUAUCAUAUUUUUUUUAGAAACGUGGCAUCCAAGUAUCAAGUUGAAGCGAUCAAUGACACAUAGCAACAAAAUGAACAACCAACUACUGUCCUAGGCAGCACACUACCUACAAUAAAGGGUAUCUCAAAACAUGUUCAUUGCCUUUUACCAGGCGUGUCACGCCAUCAUGAGGUGUUCUUAUUCCCCUAAACAUUGACACACCUUUGCGCACCAAAAAAAGAGGUGGUCCCACCAUGUGCUGUCAAAACAAAGAAGACAUGUAUGGGAAUCUUCUUGAAGCAGCUACGCUCAUGUCGUUUUUUCAAUGGAGAAGAGCAACUAUCUGAAGAAGAAGAAGAAGAAGAAGAAAAAGAAGAAGAAGAAGAAGAACCAGAGUUGAUCGAGGAGCCCAAAGGCGAGGUUUUGUUUUUACUAGUGUUCUCAUCACAGACUAAUAGGGUGAAGGGGUCAAGAGUUCCUACCCAAACAUUGUGCUCCCAAGCACCCAUGUGACAUAUUGCACACUAUGGUCACGAGGAUGCCUAAUUAAAUGGAAUAUAUAGAAAAUUGGCUAAGUACCCGCGUGAGGGGUUGUUCUAUGAGCAUUGUCACAAUAACAUCCUUAUGGCCACACACAUCUCACAAGAGGAGAACCUCAUCUGCAUGGACCAAGUGCUGCUCACCUAAGCGCGUCAGACCAUGGGUUUGGCAGGAUCGUAGGAUUGCAUCGACGCAAGGACGUGCUCCUCCUCCACACCACAUCACCCGCAACAUCACAACUUCCCAUCCCAACACCUCGAGGACGCAACAUCCAAGCAAAUUGAACAACCCAUCGGCCUCACUUAGAGCAGCCGCGCUGACCGCCCUAUGCCACGCUGACGCGCUCCCGCGCGCCAGGGAAGACGCCCUAUCACGGACAAGAUGUAAGUUUUUCCCCUCCGCGAAUGGGGAUGCAAGCUUUUCGGGAGAACAAAUCAUACGUUGGCUGCUGCGAUGGAGAAUGCUGUGCGGUGUGUGGAAGGCCAUUUGGAAUUUGAAUUUGUAGCAGCGGAUAGAUCCUUUCUUGGGGCGGAGGUUGGUGGAUUGGACCAGAGUGCAAAAAGGAGGCAGAAACUGAUAAAGCUGGCGUAAAUACGCGCGUCUUAAGGGGCGUGAUCGCAAAAUGGCACGGAGCGGUGGGCUACUCAUACCCUCCCCGUGCUCCGCUUCCGCCUUGCCAUCUCAUUUCCAGAGAGCGGAUCCAGAGAGUGCUAGGGUUUUCUCUCUCUCCCGGCGGCGAGGGCGAUGUCGAUGGCGGCGGCGGCGAGGGCGGCGACGAGGGCCCCGGGCAGGGCGGCGGCGCGGUUCGUGCAGACCAGGCUCCGCUCCUCCGGCAAGGUGCUCAGCGAGGAGGAGCGGGCCGCCGAGAACGUCUACAUCAAGGUAUGAUCCCCCCUUCCCCGCUCCGGCGCGAGAUGGCUCCUCGUGGGCGCGAUGCGGCCCCGCGCGUGUUUGGCUAGGGUAGGGUUCCCGGCGCGAUCCGCGCGCCCGCGGCGGCGCCGGGCGGUUCCCGUCGGGCGGUUAUGUCCGUUGACGCGGUGUCGCUCUUGUGUCCGUGUAGAUUUGGGGGGAUCUUUGCGCACUGGACCUACUUUCAUGCGUUCAUCAAAUUGGAUGGUUGCUCCGGUGUGAAUUUUUAGGCGGUUUGCUAUUUGGGGGUUGAUUUGAGCAAGUGCAAAUUAUACUAGUAUGCACUGGCAACAAUCGCUGAAUGCUGGCCUUUUGUGAUUAUUAUGUGAAUCUUCUGAUGCAGGUAGUUGCUUAGUUAUGCCCAUUGACAUGAUAGCUGUUCUGCUUGUGUAGUGGGGGAAUUGGGGAUGUCUGCAAACCUGCCUCUCAACUGAUUAUAUUUGCUCAUCAUGCUUCUAUUUUUUUUUCUUUCUAUUGGAGCUUUGGUUGGAUGGUUGCUGUGAUAUGGGGCUUUUAGUUUGUGUGGAAUUGGGCAUUGGUUUUGGGUCAUACAUAUAGGAUUGCAAAUAAUAUCAGUAGGCACUGGAAAAAAUGUGUCAGUGUUGGCCUUCUGUGAUCAUGUGAACCUUCUGAUGUAGGUUGUUUCCUCAGUUAUGCCUAUCGACACAAUAGUUGUUCUAAUGGCGUAGUGGGUGAUUUGGGGAUCUUUGCAAACCUGCCUCUGAACUGAUUUUAUUUGUUCAUCAUGCUUUUGUACUAUUGGAGCUUCAGUUGGGUGGCUGCUGUGAUAUGGGGUUUUAGUUUUCUUGGAAUUGGGGAUUGAUAUUUGGAUAUACAGAUAGGAUUGCAAAUGCUGUCAGUAGGACUGACUACUGAUAGGCACUGUGAUAUGUGUUUGGUGCUGUGUUUUUGUGGUUAUCUGAACCUUCUAUUAUGUCUAGAGUGUUGAAUUCUCGCCAUUGCGUGACCUGUUCCCUGAACCUUUUUCUUUCAUUUUGUGGUCCACUUGGGCUAUAAUUUUUGCCGUGGCUGUUGUGAACUCUUCAGUUAUGUUUAUCAUUUUUAUUGUUCAUCAUGGGAAUGUGUAAUUAGAUGAUUAUGUUAUAGGUUAGGUUCGUGGUGAGUAGAAAAAUUCUGCCACUAUGCUAGUUGCUUGUUUUCUUUGUUUUCUGUUUAUAUAGUCCCCUGAGAACCAUUGUUAUUUCAUUAUUUCUGCAGAACACUAACAGAAACCCUGUGCUUGAUAUAACACCUCAUUGAUUCAAGUAAUGCUUGUCUUACCAUAUGUAAUCAUUCAACUGGAACUGUUACCUUAUUAGUAGUUAAAUUGUUUAUACUCAGCAGUGACAUUGUUCGGAAAUUACCAAGCUCACAUUAUAUAUCCUGUGUUGAGUUGACAAAUGAAGCACUAGACUUAUCAGAAGGAAAAUUCAGCUAGGAAUCCUUGAUAACAGUUGUACGGGUAGACAUAAUUGAUACUUCUUUCUGCAGCACAUUAAUUAACCGUUGCUUGAUGCACCCAUUGCUUCAGAUAAUGCUUGUCUUACAUAUAUAAUCAUAAUCAUUGAAUUGGAUCUCUUACCUUAUUAGCUGCUUUCAGUUGCAGUCUUGAACAAUAAAAUGGUUAUCUCAGUCCCUAGGAUUCCUAGUUGUAGUCUUUCAGCUGUAAUCAUUAUUGCUUGGACUGUAGUAUGUAUGCUAAUAUAUGUGUAUGUAUCACUUUCUAUAUGGUGUUAUGCUCUGUUAUCUCUGUUCAGUUGACGAAUGAAGCACUCGGCUCAUCCAUAGUACAAGUUCAACUAUGAACACUUGAAAUUAGUCAGGACAUCCAGAAGCACCAGUUUUUCCUGUUUCUAACUCUGAAUCCGAUAUAAGCCAUACUGUUGGGAUACAUGGUCUUUUGUUUAUGUGUUGGUGCUUUGUUAAUAUAAAGCUAUAGUGUUGGCAUAAGUGGUCUUUUGUAUAUGUGCUUAUGCUUUGUUAAUAUAAAGCUAUAGUGUUGGCAUAAGUGGUCUUCUGUGUAUAUGCUGAUGCUUUGUUAAUACUUAAUAACAUGUCUGAUGACCUAUUUCUGGUCUGUUUAUGCAGAAAAUGGAACAAGAGAAGCGGGAGAAGCUCGCACGCAAGGUAUGUGAACACACAAUUGCUUGAACCUCUCAACUGGGCAUUGGUUGUUGAUGUUAUAUUUCCAUGAUGCUUGUCUGCUCAUGUUGCCAUGUACAGCAAAUUAGCAUCCUUCUCUACAAAAUUAUAUAUGCCUAAUGGGUAUGUAUGUUUUAGCUUCCUAUAAGUUGAAAUGCAUUACCCGUUUGUAUGUGUUCUGCGUGGUUCAUGGAUCUGACUAGAGAUUUAAAGGCUUGUGAUGUCAUGCACAAUUCAUUAGCAUCCUUAUUAACAAAGUCAUAUAUGUCCAAUGGAUACAUGUGAUUUAGCUUUCCAAGUUAAGAUACACUACUGUAUAUGUUCUGUGUUGGUUGUGAAACUGACAAGAGAUGUAAAGUCUUUUGAUGUUGUGUACAGCAAAUCAGCAUACUUGUUGGCAAAGUUAUAUAUGUCCAAUGGAUGCCUAUGUGUUAGCUUUCUAAGUUUAGAUGCACUAGUUCUGUCUGUGUCAUGAAGCUGACAAGAGAUAUGAAUUCCAAAGCAAUUAGUAUCCUUUUGGAUUCUGCACAAAAUUAUAUAUCCAGUGGAUGUGUUUGAUUUUGAAACUAUGCACUAGCGUAUAUUUUCUGUGUGGUUUGUGAAACAUACUGACAAGAGCAUUAAAUUCCAGCAGGGUCCCAGCACUGGAGAGCAAGCUCCGUCCACCCCAAGCGCCGCAGCGGGCGACGUGAACACUGGAGGCGCCGCUUCGACCGCGUCGGCAUCCGCAGCAGGCACGUCGACCGACAAGAACAGGAACUAUGCCGUGCUGGCUGGCACCCUGGCCGGUCUGAGCGCCCUGGGCUGGUACCUCCUGUCAAAGCCCAAGAAGACGGAGGAGGUUGUCGACUGAUCGGCCCAUCCUGCCCUGGUUUUUUACUUCCUUACUGCACAUGGACCUGCGCGAUGAUGAUGAUGAUAAUAAGUUUCCGAUGUCGCCGAACAGCCUUUCCUUUGCCUUGUUAGCUGCUUCCACAGAAUCUGAGACUUGAGAUGAUGAUGAUGAUGGUCUGUAGCGCAAGUUGUUUUGCUACCUGUGGUUGAUAUGGUAUGGUGGUGGUUAACGAGAGAGGCGUCUUGGAUGAUGCGGCUUGGUCCUUUUCAAAGUAAUGCAAUGCAUGGGUUUUCCGGUGAAUUUUGUUGGAGUUGCUUGCUUUGUCAGUUUUGGCCAAAGUAUGCAUGCAAUGCAUGGUUUCAAAUGAGUGUACUUGCAGUUUGAUGCAAUUCUUCACCAGGAAAUGCAUAAAUGAAAAUGUACCAGGCAAAUAUUUUGAAACAAAUGGUGUUUUCGGGUGUCACAUCAAAGGUUUUUUUUUAAGAAACGUUGGCAUUUCAUGUGUUAGAAUUGAUCCAUUGCACCACCCGUCAAAAAAAAAAAA
rnacentral:lncRNA from 1 species